rnacentral:rRNA from 1 species
AUUAUAAUAUGCUAUCAUCCUUUGUAUAUUUGGUUAAUGUUCCUUUUGCAUCAUGAUUAAAUGAGGAGCUUAGUUAAGACUUUAUAUCGAAAGCUAAGGAUUUUUGCACUCACUGAUUUGUUCUAUAAAGAACCAGGUAGGUUCUUAUAGAUGAGUGCUACGUUGUGAUAAGUUAGACGACUUAGCUUAUAAACUAUUUAAUAGCUUGCAUUCCGAACAACUGUGUUAGCUAGGAGGUUAGCACAGCAUGUAUACCUUUAAUUUACGUGUAAACAGGGUAAGGUUAAAAUUACCUUUCUAUAAGGAGUUUAUUACAAAUCUUCUUAAAAGGAUUUGCUUUGGGUUACCUGAAGGGGCUAUUCUCGAUGUUAAAUAUACGUUAAUCGUAUAUGUUUAAACAAGUAAUUGUUAUUAGUUUGGUUUAUUGUUUCUCAGAAAUUGCCCGUCUGUUUAUUAAAAACAUUUCCAUAUGUGAAGAAUAUAUGGUAGUACCUGCUCUAUGUGUGUAUAAAUGGCCGCAGUAUCUUGACUGUGCGAAGGUAGCAUAAUUAAUUGCCUUAUAAUUGAGGGCUUGUUUGAAUGGUUUGACGAGGUAAUAUUUGAACAUUAACGCUUUAUUUGAAACUACUUUAGAGGGCACAGAAGCCUCUAUGGUUAAUUAGACGGAAAGACCCCGGGAUCUUUUGUUUUUGCUUGGGGCAAGUUAAGGUGUUUCACCUUUAUUUAGACCCUUUUUGGUUUAGUGGGCUAAGUUACCCCGGGGAUAACAGUGUAAUAGUUUAUUAGAGAUCCUAUCGAUUAAACUGCUUGUUACCUCGAUGUUGACUUAGGUUAUAGCUUGUGCGCAGUAGUUCAAGCUUUAGGUCUGUUCGACCUUGUAGCCUCCAUGAGUUGAGUUAAGACCGGCGUAAGCCAGGUCGGUUCUUAUCUAUUGUUGUAAUCUGCUAGUACGAAAGGAUUGCAGAUUGUUUUUUU